UUAGCCCUAAACCCAGAUAAUUUUUUAAACAAAAUUAUUCGCCAGAGUACUACUAGCAAUAGCCUGAAACUCAAAGGACUUGGCGGUGCUUCAUAUCCCUCUAGAGGAGCCUGUCCUAUAAACGAUAAACCCCGAUAGACCUUACCAACCCUAGCUAAUACAGCCUAUAUACCGCCAUCCUCAGCAAACCCUGAUAAAGGAAAUAUAGUAAGCAAGAUUGUUAAAAUACAAAAACGUUAGGUCAAGGUGUAGCUUAUGAGUUGGAAAGAGAUGGGCUACAUUUUCUCAAAACAGAAAAAAAAACGAACAUUCUUAUGAUAUUAAGAGUUAAAGGAGGAUUUAGUAGUAAGCUAAGAAUAGAGAGCUUGGCUGAAUUAGGCCCUGAAGCACGC
rnacentral:rRNA from 1 species